UGAGUAACACGUAGGUAACUACUCUAAGACGAGGAUAACGACUGGAAACGGUCGCUAAAACUGGAUAGGAUCAUUUGAGGCAUCUCGAAUGAUUUAAAGGGGCUUUCAAGCCACACUUAGAGAAAGGCCUGCGGCGCAUUAGCUAGUUGGUGGGGUAGAGGCCUACCAAGGCGAUGAUGCGUAGCCGGACUGAGAGGUCGAACGGCCACAUUGGGACUGAGACACGGCCCAAACUCCUACGGGAGGCAGCAGUAGGGAAUUUUCGGCAAUGGGGGAAACCCUGACCGAGCAACGCCGCGUGAAUGAAGAACGUAUUUCGGUAUGUAAAGUUCUUUUAUUAAGGAAGAAUAUCACGGAUAGGAAAUGAUCUGUGAGUGACGGUACUUAAUGAAUAAGCCCCGGCUAACUAUGUGCCAGCCGCUGC
rnacentral:rRNA from 1 species